GAAAUUGAAAUCGCAGUGAAGAUGCUGUGUACCCGCGGCUAGACGGAAAGACCCCGUGAACCUUUACUACAGCUUGGCACUGAACAUUGAACCUACAUGUGUAGGAUAGGUGGGAGACUUUGAAGAUGAGACGCUAGUUUUGUUGGAGUCGUCCUUGAAAUACCACCCUUGUAGUUUUGAUGUUCUAACGUUGGCCCCUGAAUCGGGGUUACGGACAGUGCCUGGUGGGUAGUUUGACUGGGGCGG
rnacentral:rRNA from 1 species